rnacentral:rRNA from 1 species
CCUUGUCAUUAGUUGCUACGAAAAGGGCACUCUAAUGAGACUGCCGGUGACAAACCGGAGGAAGGUGGGGAUGACGUCAAGUCCUCAUGGCCCUUAUGGGUAGGGCUACACACGUCAUACAAUGGCUGGUACAGAAGGUUGCCAACCCGCGAGGGGGAGCUAAUCCCAUAAAACCAGUCGUAAUCCGGAUCGUAGUCUGCAACUCGACUGCGUGAAAUCGGAAUCGCUAGUAAUCGCGGAUCAGCAUGUCGCGGUGAAUACGUUCCCGGGUCUUGUACACACCGCCCGUCACACCAUGGGAGCGGGUUCUGCCAGAAGUAGUUAGCCUAACCGCAAGGAGGGCGAUUUACCACGGCAGGGUUCGUGACUGGGGUGAAGUCGCAACUAAGGUAGCCGUAUCGG